rnacentral:rRNA from 1 species
UACGUAGGGUGCAAGCGUUAAUCGGAAUUACUGGGCGUAAAGCGUGCGCAGGCGGUGAUGUAAGACAGAUGUGAAAUCCCCGGGCUCAACCUGGGAACUGCAUUUGUGACUGCAUCGCUGGAGUGCGGCAGAGGGGGGGAUGGAAUUCCGCGUGUAGCAGUGAAAUGCGUAGAUAUGCGGAGGAACACCGAUGGCGAAGGCAAUCCCCUGGGCCUGCACUGACGCUCAUGCACGAAAGCGUGGGGAGC